GAGUUUGAUCCUGGCUCAGAUUGAACGCUGGCGGCAUGCCUUACACAUGCAAGUCGGACGGCAGCACGGGAGCUUGCUCCUGGUGGCGAGUGGCGAACGGGUGAGUAAUGCAUCGGAACGUAUCCUGGAGUGGGGGAUAACGUAGCGAAAGUUACGCUAAUACCGCAUAUUCUGUGAGCAGGGAAGCGGGGGACCUUCGGGCCUCGCGCUCUUGGAGCGGCCGAUGUCGGAUUAGCUAGUUGGUGAGGCAAAGGCUCACCAAGGCGACGAUCCGUAGCAGGUCUGAGAGGAUGAUCUGCCACACUGGAACUGAGACACGGUCCAGACUCCUACGGAGGCAGCAGUGGGAAUUUUGGACAAUGGGGGCAACCCUGAUCCAGCCAUGCCGCGUGAGUGAAGAAGG
rnacentral:rRNA from 1 species